rnacentral:snRNA from 1 species
AUUCUUACCUGGAAGGAGAGAGUCUGUGACUUCCAAGGUGCAGCUUAUUCAUUUAUCUCUGCAUGUGCUGACCCCUGCUAUUUUCCUAAAUGUAGGAAACUAGACUAAAUAAUUUUUGGUAGUGGGAAACUGUACUCAUACUGUCUUA